AUUGAACGCUGGCGGCAGGCCUAACACAUGCAAGUCGAACGGUAACAGGGAUCCGCUUGCUGAUUCGCUGACGAGUGGCGGACGGGUGAGUAAUGUCUGGGAAACUGCCUGAUGGAGGGGGAUAACUACUGGAAACGGUAGCUAAUACCGCAUAACGUCGCAAGACCAAAGAGGGGGACCUUCGGGCCUCUUGCCAUCGGAUGUGCCCAGAUGGGAUUAGCUAGUAGGUGGGGUAACGGCUCACCUAGGCGACGAUCCCUAGCUGGACUGAGAGGAUGACCAGCCACACUGGAACUGAGACACGGUCCAGACUCCUACGGGAGGCAGCAGUGGGGAAUAUUGCACAAUGGGCGCAAGCCUGAUGCAGCCAUGCCGCGUGUAUGAAGAAGGCCUUCGGGUUGUAAAGUACUUUCAGCGGGGAGGAAGGGAGUAAAGUUAAUACCUUUGCUCAUUGACGUUACCCGCAGAAGAAGCACCGGCUAACUCCGUG
rnacentral:rRNA from 1 species